rnacentral:rRNA from 1 species
UUUGCUCCAGAAGCACCUGAGCUAACCGCAAGGAGGCAGGGUUCCAAGGAGUGAACGGUAACUGGGGUGAAGUCGUAACAAGGUAGYCGUAGGUGAACCUGCAGAAGGAUCA